rnacentral:rRNA from 1 species
CCUACGGGGGGCAGCAGUGGGGGAUAUUGCACAAUGGGGGAAACCCUGAUGCAGCGACGCCGCGUGGGCGAAGAAGUAUUUCGGUAUGUAAAGCCCUAUCAGCAGGGAAGAAGAAAUGACGGUACCUGAGUAAGAAGCACCGGCUAAAUACGUGCCAGCAGCCGCGUUAAUACGUAUGGUGCAAGCGUUAUCCGGAUUUACUGGGGGUAAAGGGAGCGCAGGCGGCACGGCAAGCCUGGGGUGAAAGCCCGCGGCCCAACCGCGGGACUGCAGUGGGAACUAGCGGGCUGGAGUGCCGGAGAGGUAGGCGGAAUGCCUAGUGUAGCGGUGAAAUGCGUAGAUAUUAGGAGGAACCCCAGUUGCGAAGGCGGCCUACCGGAUGGUGACUGACGCUGAGGCUCGAAAGCGUGGGGAGCAAACAGGAUUAGAUACCCCGGUAGUC